UACGAAGGGUGCUAGCGUUGUUCGGAAUCACUGGGCGUAAAGCGCGCGUAGGCGGCUAUUCAAGUCAGAGGUGAAAGCCUGGAGCUCAACUCCAGAAUUGCCUUUGAAACUGUGUAGCUAGAGUGUCGGAGGGGAUAGCGGAAUUGCUAAUGUAGCGGUGAAAUGCGCAGAUAUCAGGAGGAACACCGAUGGCGAAGGCAGGUCUCUGGGCCACUACUGACGCUGAGAAGCGAAAGCAUGGGGAGCGAACAGG
rnacentral:rRNA from 1 species